rnacentral:rRNA from 1 species
UACGUAGGGGGCUAGCGUUGUCCGGAUUUAUUGGGCGUAAAGCGCGUGUAGGCGGUUUCGUAAGUCUGCUGUGAAAGUCGGAGGCUCAACCUUCGAAAGCCGGUGGAUACUGUGAGACUUGAGUACGGAAGAGGAGAGUGGAAUUCCUGGUGUAGCGGUGAAAUGCGCAGAUAUCAGGAGGAACACCAACGGCGAAGGCAGCGCUCUGGGACGUUACUGACGCUGAGACGCGAAAGCGUGGGGAGCAAACAGG